CGGGGUGUAGUACAACGGUAGUAUAUGCGCUUCGGGUGUGUAAGAUCCGGGUUCAAUUCCCGGCACCCCGACCA
rnacentral:tRNA from 3 species